CUCUGCCCCUCAGCGCAGGCACCGCGCUCCACCGCUGGAUUCUGUUCACAAGCACCAAAAAAGGAAGAAAAAGUCCCUGAAUUUACUUAUUCAGCAGCUGUUUUAUGUCUCCUUUAGGCUUUUUUUUUCUGUUGUUAUUUUUGUUUUGGUUUAAAGUUAAGUAAAGCAGUUCCAAGCCAGGAUUGGUACCUAGUUAACCACGACAGAUUACAAGUUCUUUGGAAGAGGCCACACAUCUGUUAGAGGGUUUGGACAGUGCUUAGCUUAACUAUUUGAGUCUUCAUAGCGCCUCAGGGCAAUCACAUAAUAUAUAUAACCCAUUUCACCACUGCACUAAAGUGUGUGCAUGAGCAGUGGCAGCCUGGCAAUGCCAUGUUGGGACAAGCAGUGUGUUCCUUGCUCUGCUAUCCGCCUGUGUUUUAUGAGAAGCCUGAAGCAAGGAGACUCCAAUUAGUGUAUCAUGUGGGGCUGUGACUAAGUGAGAUUAUUUCUCCCUUAUCUAGGCUAAAGGGAAGUAGUAGCUUAACACACUCUCAUUAUUGCCAAAGGUCUUUAAAAGGAACCAGCAUGUACAAGAAAAUUGCCUACUGACAUUCUUUGGAUUUUGCAAAUUCAGGGAUUUAAGGCCAUGAGUGACUAUGGUGAUUAUCUCGCUGGACCUCCCUUGCAAAAGCCAUAAAAGCUCAAAGCCUUGAGCAUUUAAUUUGGAGAAGCUCUUGGCAGUUUGAGACCUUCAAAAGAUGGAGAACUGCCAUAUCCUUUGGUAAGCUGUUCCCACAGUCCACAUUACAAAGUGUACCUGGCUACUUGUUACAAGGUAAAACUAAACUGCAUUCUAAAACACAGGGGGAUGGGGGGGAAAAGAGCAAAUUAAAGUUUCAGCCCACAGGAUCCCCAUAAGCACUGAUUGUAGAGUUUCAUAUCUACAUUCAAGUCACACAUGCAGGUGUACCAGCUGUCCCUAAAAGGUAUGUUAACACAUGACACACUCGCCUGCAUUUUCCAAGUGAAAUAAGGACGAUCCAUGGAUUCUGUUGUCCUUCAUUCCACCGGAGUCUGUCUCAUACCUAACCAGAUUUCAGUGGAGUGAAGCACAAGAGACAUGGAGAUGAAUCAGCAACAAGAGCAACUGCUUCUCACUGACAGAGAAGGGGAACUGCAUGGAAGUUUGGAUACACCAUGGAUCCAAACAAAGCGGGUGUGCUGGGACACGGAGAGCAGCAGUACACCAGCAGUUCAGUAACCUGAGCAUUUCUUGAACAGCUACAGUAAGAACCCAUUUUAAGAAUGUACUUACUUUCUGCAUAAUAUGUAAAGAUUAAAAGCCUACAAAGACCACAA